rnacentral:rRNA from 1 species
AAUCAACGCUGGCGGCGUGCCUAACACAUGCAAGUCGAACGCGAGGACCUCGCAAGAGGUUAGUAGAGUGGCAAACGGGUGAGUAACACGUGGGUGACCUGCCUUAGAGUGGGGGAUAACGUCCCGAAGGGACGCUAAUACCGCAUAACAUCCUGCCUUUGAAGAGGUGGAGAUCAAAGCUGGGGACCGCAAGGCCUAGCGCUUAAAGAGGGGCCCGCGUCUGAUUAGCAGUUGGUGGGGUAAUGGCUCACCAAGGCAACGAUCAGUAUCCGGCCUGAGAGGGCGGACGGACGCACUGGGACUGAGACACGGCCCAGACUCCUACGGGAGGCAGCAGUGGGGAAUUGUUCGCAAUGGGCGCAAGCCUGACGACGCAACGCCGCGUGGAGGA